GACGAACGCUGGCGGCGUGCUUAACACAUGCAAGUCGAGCGGUAAGGCCCUUUCGGGGGUACACGAGCGGCGAACGGGUGAGUAACACGUGGGUGACCUGCCCUCAGCUCUGGGAUAAGCCCGGGAAACUGGGUCUAAUACUGGAUAUGACUCCAUGACGCAUGUUGUGGGGUGGAAAGCCUUGUGCGGCUGAGGAUGGGCCCGCGGCCUAUCAGCUUGUUGGUGGGGNAUGGCCUACCAAGGCGACGACGGGUAGCCGGCCUGAGAGGGCGACCGGCCACACUGGGACUGAGACACGGCCCAGACUCCUACGGGAGGCAGCAGUGGGGAAUCUUGCGCAAUGGGCGAAAGCCUGACGCAGCGACGCCGCGUGAGGGAUGACGGCCUGGU
rnacentral:rRNA from 1 species